UACAGAGGGUGCGAGCGCUAAUCGGAAUUACUGGGCGUAAAGCGUGCGUAGACGGUCAUGUAAGUCGGGUGUGAAAUCCCCGGGCUCAACCUGGGAAUUGCAUUCGAGACUGCGUGGCUAGGGUGCGGAAGAGGGAAGCGGAAUUUCCGGUGUAGCGGUGAAAUGCGUAGAUAUCGGAAGGAACAUCAGUGGCGAAAGCGGCUUCCUGGUCCAGCACCGGCGUUCAGGCGCGAAAGCGUGGGGAGCAAACAGG
rnacentral:rRNA from 1 species